UCUUUAUCCGCGUGCUCCAAUCCGGCUGAUAAGCACUCAGCCCCAGGGGAAGCCGGUCGGAAUCCGGCGCUGACCCGCAACCGUAGGCCCGGCACCACCGGGCGAGCCGGAAUGCCUGGAGCCAAGUUUUCAGC
rnacentral:ncRNA from 2 species